GCAUAUCAAUAAGCGGAGGAAAAGAAACCAACAGGGAUUGCCCUAGUAACGGCGAGUGAAGCGGCAACAGCUCAAAUUUGAAAUCUGGCCUUCGGGUCCGAGUUGUAAUUUGUAGAGGAUGCUUUUGGUGAGGUGCCUUCCGAGUUCCCUGGAACGGGACGCCAUAGAGGGUGAGAGCCCCGUCUGGUUGGACACCGAUCCUCUGUAAAGCUCCUUCGACGAGUCGAGUAGUUUGGGAAUGCUGCUCUAAAUGGGAGGUAUAUGUCUUCUAAAGCUAAAUAUUGGCCAGAGACCGAUAGCGCACAAGUAGAGUGAUCGAAAGAUGAAAAGCACUUUGAAAAGAGAGUUAAAAAGUACGUGAAAUUGUUGAAAGGGAAGCGCUCAUGACCAGACUUGGGCUUGGUUGAUCAUCCAGGGUUCUCCCUGGUGCACUCUUCCAGUUCAGGCCAGCAUCAGUUCGCUGUGGGGGAUAAAGGCUUUGGGAAUGUGGCUCCCUCGGGAGUGUUAUAGCCCAUUGUGUAAUACCCUGUGGUGGACUGAGGUUCGCGCAUUCGCAAGGAUGCUGGCGUAAUGGUCAUCAGCGACCCGUCUUGAAACACGGACCAAGGAGUCGUCUUCGUAUGCGAGUGUUCGGGUGUUAAACCCCUACGCGUAAUGAAAGUGAACGCAGGUGAGAGCUUCGGCGCAUCAUCGACCGAUCCUGAUGUUCUCGGAUGGAUUUGAGUAAGAGCAUACGGGGCCGGACCCGAAAGAAGGUGAACUAUGCCUGUAUAGGGUGAAGCCAGAGGAAACUCUGGUGGAGGCUCGCAGCGGUUCUGACGUGCAAAUCGAUCGUCAAAUAUGGGCAUGGGGGGCGAAAGACUAAUCGAACCUUCUAGUAGCUGGUUUCCGCG
rnacentral:rRNA from 1 species